AGAGUUUGAUCAUGGCUCAGGAUGAACGCUAGCGGCAGGCUUAAUACAUGCAAGUCGUGGGGCAGCGCGGGUAGCAAUACCUGGCGGCGACCGGCAAACGGGUGCGGAACACGUACGCAACCUUCCUUUAAGUGAGGAAUAGCCCAGGGAACUUGGAUUAAUACCUCGUAACACUAUGAGAUGGCAUCAUCUUAUAAUUA
rnacentral:rRNA from 1 species